ACGCGAUGUGCAGCACACCAGACCUCAUGCAGCAACACCAUUAAUUUGCACAACAUCCGACUCAACCAUGGCAACGUGUCUUACGGUGCAAACACGGGCACAUGGUCACAACAUGCUGCUUAACAACACCCCAAAAGCAUCUGUCAAUGCCACAGACAGCACCGAACCCACAGCUUCCUGCAGCACAUCGACAGCAACAACGCCCAACCACAGAACAGGUUGGCAACACACACACAGCACGCGACAUAGCACAAGGCAAUCAUCAGGCAUCACGGAACACAACAACACAGGGCAACAGAACACCCAGCAAAUACGAUCACAGUACAUGCCAACACACGACACGCAGUGACCUAAUAGCCAGCCCGGAAACAUCCCAAGACACGGUAACCACACACCAACACGUAAUGCCAGCAUACCGCUACAUAAUCCUGCCACACAACACACGCUAGUACACAGCAACCCAGCAGACAGCACAGAACACACGAUGUGGCAUCACAACACAUACAGUCAAGGCAGCAGAACAAAGGACACACUAUGCAGCAACGCAACAACGUUGGCAGCCAGCAGAUGACACAAUGCAAAAUCACAUGCAGUGCCUGACAACUCUACAAUCUCACCCAGAAAUAUCUCAACACAACACGUAGCAUCUGGCCGUCCAACAGCUGAACAGACCAUAGUAAAUACUGAACAACACAUUUCUUUCUUUCCUUUUUUCGAGAUGAAAUCUCGCUCCGUCGCCCAUGCUGGAGUGCGGUGGCACGAUCUCAGUUCACUGCAACGUCUGCCUCCCAGGUUCAAGAGAUUCUCCUGCCUCAGCCUCCCAAUGAGCUGAGAUCACACCCGGCUAAUUUUUUUGUAUUUUUAGUAGAGAUGGGGAUUCACCAUGUUGUCCAGACUGGUCUCGAACUCCUGACCUCAAGUGAUGUGCCCACCUUGGCUU
rnacentral:lncRNA from 10 species